rnacentral:antisense_RNA from 1 species
CGGCGCUUGAGGCUUCUGCCUCAGGCUGCUGGCAGCAGUGCCGGUUGGUGUGAGGCAGAAUGCAGAAAAGCCCCGAAGUUAAUCUAUCCCAUUAACCCCGAGGCCCCUGUAUGACCAAACACCAUCAGGAUAGCCUCUUACCUGCCGCAAGGCAAGGAGAAGCCUGCCAUG